rnacentral:rRNA from 1 species
UACGAAGGGGGCUAGCGUUGCUCGGAAUCACUGGGCGUAAAGCGCACGUAGGCGGAUUGUUAAGUCAGGGGUGAAAUCCUGGAGCUCAACUCCAGAACUGCCUUUGAUACUGGCGAUCUCGAGUCCGGGAGAGGUGAGUGGAACUGCGAGUGUAGAGGUGAAAUUCGUAGAUAUUCGCAAGAACACCAGUGGCGAAGGCGGCUCACUGGACAAUUACUGACGCUGAUGCUCGAAGGCCAGGGGAGCAAACGGG